UACGGAGGGUGCAAGCGUUAUCCGGAUUCACUGGGUUUAAAGGGUGCGUAGGCGGAUUGGUAAGUCCGUGGUGAAAUCCCCGAGCUUAACUUGGGAACUGCCGUGGAUACUAUCAGUCUUGAAUAUCGUGGAGGUAAGCGGAAUAUGUCAUGUAGCGGUGAAAUGCUUAGAUAUCUGGAGGAACACCGGUGGCGAAGGCGGCAUCCUGGACCAAUAUUGACGCUGAGGAGCGAAAGCCAGGGGAGCAAACGGG
rnacentral:rRNA from 1 species